rnacentral:rRNA from 1 species
CAGCCGUAAACUAUGCUCGCUAGGUGUCAGGCAUGGCGCGACCGUGUCUGGUGCCGCAGGGAAGCCGUGAAGCGAGCCACCUGGGAAGUACGGCCGCAAGGCUGAAACUUAAAGGAAUUGGCGGGGGAGCACAACAACGGGUGGAGCCUGCGGUUUAAUUGGACUCAACGCCGAAAAACUCACCAGCAGCGACUGUUACAUGAAAGUCAGGUUGAUGACCUUACUAGAUUUUCAGAGAGGAGGUGCAUGGCGUAGACGUCU